CGGACGGGUGAGUAAUGUCUGGGAAACUGCCUGAUCGAGGGGGAUAACUACUGGAAACGGUAGCUAAUACCGCAUAACGUCGCAAGACCAAAGAGGGGGACCUUCGGGCCUCUUGCCAUCGGAUGUGCCCAGAUGGGAUUAGCUAGUAGGUGGGGUAACGGCUCACCUAGGCGACGAUCCCUAGCUGGUCUGAGAGGAUGACCAGCCACACUGGAACUGAGACACGGUCCAGACUCCUACGGGAGGCAGCAUG
rnacentral:rRNA from 1 species